rnacentral:misc_RNA from 1 species
UCUCCGUUGGUGAACCAGCGGAGGGAUCAUUACCGAAGUUACCUUCAAAACCCACUGUGAACCUUACCUCUUGCCGCGUUGUCUCGGCGGGAGGCGGUGUGCGUCGCGCGCCCUAGCGGGCCGCGCCGCGCCCGUCCCCGCCGGCAGCGCCAAACUCUAAAUGCACAGCGGACUGUACGUUCUGAUUUACAAAAAAAAACAAGUUAAAACUUUCAACAACGGAUCUCUUGGUUCUG